CCUACGGGUGGCAGCAGUGGGGAAUAUUGGACAAUGGGCGAAAGCCUGAUCCAGCCACGCCGCGUGUGUGAAGAAGGCCUUCGGGUUGUAAAGCACUUUCAGUGGGGAAGAAAGCCUUGGGGCUAAUACCCUCGAGGAAGGACAUCACCCACAGAAGAAGCACCGGCUAACUCCGUGCCAGCAGCCGCGGUAAUACGGAGGGUGCGAGCGUUAAUCGGAAUUACUGGGCGUAAAGCGCGCGUAGGCGGUCUGAUAAGCCGGUUGUGAAAGCCCCGGGCUCAACCUGGGAACGGCAUCCGGAACUGUCAGGCUAGAGUGCAGGAGAGGAAGGUAGAAUUCCCGGUGUAGCGGUGAAAUGCGUAGAGAUCGGGAGGAAUACCAGUGGCGAAGGCGGCCUUCUGGACUGACACUGACGCUGAGGUGCGAAAGCGUGGGUAGCAAACAGGAUUAGAUACCCCAGUAGUC
rnacentral:rRNA from 1 species